CUGGACACAAACUCCUGGCCUCAAGCAAUUGUCCUGCCUCAGCCUCCCAAAGUGGAAAGUGCUGGGACUAAAGAAAUGUCAAUUGCCUACCUGAUGGCUGUGAAAAACAGAAAGAAGAAACAAAGACAUAUCUGUAUGUAAAGGUUGAGCUUGAAAAAAGAAAACUACUCUUGACGCUGAAGAACGCAAUCCAACAUGAAAGAAUGCUUAUUUCAAGUUUUACCUGAAUCUACCUAGAGCUGAAUUUCUUAUCUAUACUUUACUACAGAUAUUCUGCUUUGUGCAGAUCUACAAUGGAUCAUUAAAGUCAAAGGACAAUUACUUAUCUUUCUACUCCUCCCAGUACCCAAGACCUGAGAGUGAGAUAUUAAAUUCGUCCUUAGAUCUUUCAUGCAAUGUUACAGCUCUUUGGAACUCCUCAUGAAGCUCCUCCUCUCCAUGGUGGAAUUUUACUCUGAGGAGAGAUAGGCUAAAAUGUUUCAGUCCCCUAUAUGAUAAGUCCAAAAUCACCGUUUCACAUAUAUGCUGACCUGAUACAUUGAGUCACUGAUACGUGUCUUUCCACCUUCAGUAUAUUUUCUUUGACUAGCUUUAUUGCUUCCCUGUGAUGCUGAAUUUUGAGCAUGGAUGUGUGUGUCCAUAACAAAACCAUCCUAGGUAAACUGAAUUUGGUUAUUUGAAUUUCAUAAUUACUCUUUACUCCAAGUGUUGUGGAUUCAUGAUGCAAAUUUACCCAUUCCCAUUGCAAUAACUUAGAGCCAAAUAUCAAUUAUUUUAAAACUUGGUUCUCAUCACUGAACUAACAGUGUUGAAAAAGACAAUUUGCCUAUAUUUAAUAGUUUGCUAGUAAACUUUAUUUUGGGUUACAUCAAACUUGUAAUAAGUAGUGACUGGAUUGGGAAGGUGAGGUGUGCUGAUUUAAGGAUGCCUCUCCAUCUAUUUUAUGUGCUAGAAAAUAGGUAGCAAAAAAUAAAUCUUGCAGUACUCUCUUUUGAUUAACU
rnacentral:lncRNA from 10 species